rnacentral:rRNA from 1 species
AGWGUUUGAUUAUGGCUCAGGAUGAACGCUGGCGGUAUGCUUUAUACAUGCAAGUCGUACGAGAGUUUUUAACUCAAGUGGCGGACGGGUGAGUAACACGUAAGAAUUUGCCUUUAGGAGGGGGAUAACAACUGGAAACGGUUGCUAAUACCCCAUAUGCCUUUAAGUGAAAUGGAUUUUUCCGCCUAAAGAGAAGCUUGCGGCUGAUUAGCUUGUUGGUAAGGUAAUGGCUUACCAAGGCGACGAUCAGUAUCUGGUUUGAGAGGACGAUCAGACACACUGGAACUGAGACACGGUCCAGACUCCUACGGGAGGCAGCAGUAGGGAAUUUUCCGCAAUGGGCGAAAGCCUGACGGAGCAAUACCGCGUGAGGGAUGAAGGCCUAUGGGUUGUAAACCUCUUUUUUCAGGGAGGAACAAAAUGACGUGUACCUGAAGAAUAAGCAUCGGCUAACUCCGUGCCAGCAGCCGCGGUAAGACGGAGGAUGCAAGCGUUAUCCGGAAUCACUGGGCGUAAAGCGUCUGUAGGUGGUCAAAUAAGUCAACUGUUAAAUCUUGAGGCUCAACCUCAAAAUCGCAGUCGAAACUAUUCGACUAGAGUAUAGUAGGGGUAAAGGGAAUUUCCAGUGGAGCGGUGAAAUGCGUAGAGAUUGGAAAGAACACCGAUGGCGAAGCACUUUACUGGGCUAUUACUAACACUCAGAGACGAAAGCUAGGGUAGCAAAUGGGAUUAGAUACCCCAGUAGUCCUAGCUGUAAACAAUGGAUACUAGAUGUUGAACAGAUCGACCUGUGCAGUAUUAA